rnacentral:lncRNA from 1 species
UCCAUUCAUUCCACAAGCCAACUGGCUCUUUCAUGAACUUCACCGGCAGGUCUAUGGAAUGGUUACCAACAAGACUAGAGGGUCUGUGGUUGAUUGAAAAUAGCCGGGAUCUAGUUUGCAUAUCCAUUUAUGAUAUUAAUCACUAAGGUGAAGAAAUGCAUGGCAAGUCAGACAGCAAUAAAAUAAUAAUUCACAAUUCUCUAUAUUACUAGUAGAGGAGUUCACAGAAUAGAUUAAAAAUUUGAGUAUAUAUUGUCAUCAUUAUCAUCGCUGCCAAGUUGGCCUGUUUUUACUGCAUAAAGAAGAAUAGUGCUUGCCUUUCCGUAUGACCUCCCAGUACAUGGUAAUAUGAGCGGAAUCUUUCAUGAGUUCAUGUCAUUUGGAUUUUGGCAAUCCAUAGAAUUUGAUGCUGUCAGACACAUAUCAUAGAUUAGACCUUCUGAUUUCUGUAAUUGGGGCUGGGGAUGUAGCCUUCAUAAACAGGGGAUUAUUAUAUGCUUGUUACUUGAGCUGUUACUUUGUCAAAUUCCUGUUUACCUUGGUUACUUCUGCUUUUGUAUGUGAUAUUUAAUGAAUCAUUGGUUAAUCUUUUUUGUUUUAUUUUCUGCAAGUUGUCAAGGCACUUGCUAGCACUUAACUCCAGCAACUCCAGUUGCUAACAAAUUACUCCCCUGUUAUCUUUGCAGCCUGCAAGUUGUCAAGGCACUUGCUAGCACUUAGCACAAACAUACAUUUUUGUUUUUACAUUUUUCUUAUAAAAAUCAUUUUUUUCCUAAAUCAUUUUUACCCAACUCCCAACUUAUCAAAUUAUUAUGUUAAAUUAGAAGUAAUAAUUUUGAGAAUUUUAAGCUCAGUCAAGCGGACUAUGAGCCUGUUUAAGCUGGGGCUUUAAGCUGUUUCCAACUUAAAGCUGAAAAAUGUAUGUUUGUGUAAUAAGUCAGAGCCGGCUUAAAGUCAGAAAUAAGCCGGAAACUGACUUAAAGCCAAAAUUUGGUUUUAGGUACUUUUUUCAGUGACUUCUUUUUUUGAGAUUUUUUUUCAUAAAACUAUCCAUAAGUUAUAAGUUACUCAUAAAUUAAUUUUACUGUUAUUAUUAUAUUUUUAAUAACUCAUAAUUCAUCAACAAGUCAAAAAUUAUCCAAAUAGACAUUUUAAGCUCUCAGCUUAUCAAAUAAGUCACGUUAAGUCAUAAGUCAUAAACUCAACCAAACGGGCUCUAUGUAUGAAGCUCUAUAGCAAUCGAUGUGUUUGGGGAGAUCUUUUUCAUCGUUAAUAUAUAUAUAUAUGUAUAUAACUGAAAUUAGAAUUAUUGAUACGGGCCUCUUCCACAUGAAAAGGGAUGUUCUGUUUAGAUCACUUGCAUAAGAAAUGAAGCAAUGAAAUUAUCUAUAGAAAAAAAGUAACCUUAGUUGAAAGUUGAAACUGAAAUACGAUCGUCUCUAGCUAGUCGGUGUGAAUGUGAAUGUGAAUGUGAAUGCUCCACCACUCUGCCUCUUCCAGGCAGCUGAAACAACAGCACGAACAGUAUCACCGCUAUCAACACUGGUCCCCAAUCUACCAUCUCUCUCUGUGUCUCUAAAAUUCAAUCUCUCUCGCCCAUCUAUCUCGAUCUCUCUGGCUGUUGUAUUAUUUAUAAAGAUGGGUUGAGACCGGGAGAUAGAUCUAUCUUACAUGUACCUUGCCACGUGGCUUCCUCCUCUCUAACUCUUCUCUCCUAUUUUUUUUUGAAAGAUCAAUGAUCAUCCUUUGAUC